UACGUAGGUGGCAAGCGUUGUCCGGAUUUACUGGGCGUAAAGAGCGCGCAGGCGGUCGUUCAAGUCGCGUGUGAAAGCCCCCGGCUCAACUGGGGAGGGUCACGCGAUACUGAUCGACUCGAAGGCAGGAGAGGGUAGUGGAAUUCCCGGUGUAGUGGUGAAAUGCGUAGAUAUCGGGAGGAAGGCCGGUGGCGAAGGCGGCUCUCUGGGACGUCCCUGACACUGAGGCGCGAAAGCGUGGGGAGCAAACAGG
rnacentral:rRNA from 1 species